UACUAUAUUACGGAUACAGGGUUCCCUGCUAACAUCGUGCACAAAUAAUUCAACACUUCAUAAAAACUUUCUUCGCUGGCCAGUAAAAAAAUUGUAACGGACUAGAGUCGUUCAGCUAUAUGUGAAUGUUAAUCGCAGUACUGCAUUGGGGACAGUUGAACAAUUAUACAAUUGCUACAUAGUACAUACUUGCAACACCAUUUUAGCCCGCACGUUACGAGCUAAAUUGUUACGCGAUACUAAUAUUAUCUCGUAUUUGUGGUACACGAAAAACUGUUUAACAAUAUAGCGACGUCAAAUACGAAAACUCCUGUUGCGCAACAGCGAGUCACUGGUGCAUAUAUAAUACCAAAACACUGUGUUUGCUUUCAGUUUUCGGUAUUAAGGUAAAAUACACAGUACUUGGUCAUAUUUCAAACUACACACAGAUUCUCCUAGUUAAUUCAGGCUAUCUGAAUAUCGCUUCCAAUUGUAACAAUACAAAUAAUAUUUAACAUGCAAUUUGAAUAAUAUGGAGGAGCCUAUAUGCUGCAAUAUAUUUUUUCUCCAGCGUUUUAUAUUUUGAAAAAAAAUAUCAUUGUCAUUAAUGUUUUUUGCUUAAAAAUGCACGGGUUUCUUCUCUAUUGUAUUGCGUAGCUGACAUUAAAAUAUGUUCAGAUAUGUAUAAUAAUAUGAGCUCUAAAUGAUGAACCAAACUAAUGACCAAAGAGUAGAUGCGACGUGAAAUGAAACAAUUGAAAAAAAAAAAUUAUAAAAUGCCUAACGCUGGAGUGUUAAUGAGAACACUUUUGGAGUUUUAUAAAAUGAAAACUAAUGAGAUAUUAGUUUGAAACAAGUGCUCUACAACAUCGUUUACCAGGGUAUCGUUUACCAAGGUCAAGGUUACAGGAGUACAUUUUCCUUAACAGCGAGUCUUACGUUUUCAUAUCGUCUACGCUGGCUGUAUGCAAAUUAAUUUCUCCAUGUUUAAGGGGGCAAAUAGGUUUAGGCUCAAAGAGCCCGAAAAGAAAAGUUCCAAGCUCAAAAAGAAGGAUAUGAAGAAGAGAAAGGAUUACUAUAUGGUGCUGGAAUCGUUGAUUAACCAUGUUAUAUGUUUCUCGGUAAUACGUAAUCCGCCGAUGUUUUGAAAAACCAUUCGCUUGAAUGCAAGUUAGAUGUCGUUGCAAUGUAAUAUCAUUUAAUCCUCUGCAAAACAUGUGACAAUUAAGGUAAUGAAAGAAUGACUCUUUAUGUAAGCUGAGGUCAAUACGUUUUAAUUUUACUUGCUAGUCGUAUCUGCGACAUACUCAUGUUAGUCUAGAAUCUCUACUUUCAUGUUAAAUUACAGUCACGUAAUGUCGGAAUACGAAAAUAAAGUACAGCACUAAACUAGCAUACUACAAAAGAUCAUAUCAACACACAGAUGUGUAAUGAUGUCGUUUAAUUAAUACGAAACUCUGCAUUGUACAGAGACGAUUAGAAGAAUAUAUUUACGAACAACAACCUGACACUUCAGAGAAUAUGCUAAGUCGUAUAAUUCAAGCUUAUGCAGUUAUCCCAUCAGAAACAGUUCAAAGAGCAUUGCAACCCGUAAUUGUCCGUUGAAAUUGCAUUGCUGUCGAUCGAUAUCACUUUCAGCACUUUAGAAACUUUAUAACGUAAACAUCAAGUUGACAUAUCAUUUCAACAUUUUUAAAAAUUUGCAUAUUUUAAUAUUUGAGAUUACUAAAAAAUCAUCUGCGCCAAGUUGUAAUAGAAACAAUAUUUUCUUGGUAAAAGAAAAUAAUGAGCUUAAAAAAAAACUCGUAAGAACAUGAAGUUAGAAACAAAAUUGUUGUCAAUGGUAUUUUCACUCCAGAAAUAUUGAAAUCAAGCUAUAAACAAUUUUCAUAUCGCAAAAAAAUAAGAAAGAUUCAGCUAGACUUACUGACGAAAAUUGAGAAACAAAGUAGUUCUUGAAGCAUUACGGUGUUAUAUACACAAUUACUUUAAAUGCUGGGAUACAUAAAGAGUGUAAGUUACACAAUAUAUAAAUAUCCAUACGGCAUGUAUUUUUCAAAUAAAUAGUUGUGUAUUAUUUAUUGCAUUAUUUACACCAAAGUAGCAAAUGGAAACGAAAAUAUUCGAGACCAAAGUUUUUACAAUAAAACAGGUACAAACAUGGUAUUAGUAAUUCAUUAUCUAUUACAUAGUUUUUUAAACAUGAAAAGGAAAGAUGAGUGUUAGAGUCAUUGCCAGAACCUGCAUCCGUAGUGAUUUAAUUCAUCCAGAUUUUGGCUGAUUUUUCAUUUCGGCCAAUAAAUUUAACGUUAAUGUAAAGUUUCAUAUGCACAAAAUUGGUAUACAAAAGAUCACAGUGAUACUUUGUGGUACUUUCUUUUGAAGUCCAUUUAUACAUAGAUAACUUAUUAUAUAAAAAAUUAAGACAAAGUAUCGUUAUUGCAUUUAAAUUACGCAUUUAUUUUAACUGUACUACAAUAUCAAAGUCAACCUAGAAAAAUUGAAAUGAAAUAAGUAUUCUACCAAUGGCACGUAUUUGAAUAUAAUACAUAGAUUUUUUCUCAAAUGUUAUGCUUUAAGAACAAUAAACUGGUGUAUUAAAUAAUAGUUAUAAUUUUGUAAACUACAUUCCUCUACUAAUAUUUCAAGGAUUGAAAUAUAGGAUGUUACUUCCAGUACUUCGAAUUUUUGUAUUUCGUCCAUUAGGCGACACACGGUGCGGCGCGGGCGCGGAAAGUCUGUAAACGGUGGUACGCAAGGAGGCAAGGUAAUGAAAGUUACUUCGUAAUUUAACGUAGCCGAGAGUUUCCAGUUUGAACCGGCCACUGACAUUCCGGCGUUGCGCCGGGGCUUCCCGGAAUCUGGUACGUGCACAUGCGUGAACAGUGU